rnacentral:rRNA from 1 species
AUUGAACGCUGGCGGCAGGCCUAACACGUGCAAGUCGAACGGUAACAGGAAGAAGCUUGCUUCUUUGCUGACGAGUGGCGGACGGGUGAGUAAUGUCUGGGAAACUGCCUGAUGGAGGGGGAUAACUACUGGAAACGGUAGCUAAUACCGCAUAACGUCGCAAGACCAAAGAGGGGGACCUUCGGGCCUCUUGCCAUCGGAUGUGCCCAGAUGGGAUUAGCUAGUAGGUGGGGUAACGGCUCACCUAGGCGACGAUCCCUAGCUGGUCUGAGAGGAUGACCAGCCACACUGGAACUGAGACACGGUCCAGACUCCUACGGGAGGCAGCAGUGGGGAAUAUUGCACAAUGGGCGCAAGCCUGAUGCAGCCAUGCCGCGUGUAUGAAGAAGGCCUUCGGGUUGUAAAGUACUUUCAGCGGGGAGGAAGGGAGUAAAGUUAAUACCUUUGCUCAUUGACGUUACCCGCAGAAGAAGCACCGGCUAACUCCGU